AAAUGCACAUGGAAAUAUACAUUCUCUGUUUUAAUUAAUAUGAUUGUAUGUAACUCAAAGGAGAACACAAAUAGGAUGAACAACAACAUAGGUAAAGUUUCAAACAUUGACAAGGUGAUACUAACCUCCUAGAUUCAAUGAAAACAACAACUUUAUUCAAUCAGGUGUCAAAAUAAAAGGAAAACAUCAGAAGAACAAACUCAGUUCUUCGACUGUUUGGCAAUCUUGAACCACUCGGUAUGGAAAGCCCCUGGGACAUCAAUCCUCUCGUAAGUAUGAGCACCAAAGUAAUCCCUUUGAGCUUGAACCAAAUUGGCAGGCAGACUUUCCCUUCUGUAUGAGUCAAAGUAGGCAAGACUUGAAGACAUACCCGGUGUGCUAAUGCCUGAGUUUAUGGCUAGGCAGACUACUCUACGCCAAGCAGACUGACGUUCAACCAUCUCUUUUGCAAACUCUUCAUCCACCAGUAGGUUAGCAAGAUCAGGGUUUCUGUCAUAAGCCCCCUUGAUCCGGUCUAAAAAUAUAGCCCGGAUAAUACAACCACCCUUCCAAAUCCUAGCAAGCUCCCCUAGUUUCAAGUCCCAUCCUUUUUCAACACUCUUUGCCCUUAUCAAAUUCAUGCCUUGAGCAUAGCUACAUAUUUUGGAUGCAUAAAGUGCCUUUCUCACAUCGUCAAUCAAUUGAUUCUUGUCCACGGACUGCUCAACAAAGAUAUCACUAACCCCGCUAGAUUCAAAUACUUUGGCUGCUUCAACUCUUUCAUCUUUUAACCCACUAAGGAAUCUUGAAUCCAAUGAUGCAGCUAUUGUGGGUGCAGCAACUGACAAUUCAGCGGCUUGCUGAACAGUCCAUUUACCAGUACCUUUCAUCCCAGUUUUAUCCAAAACUUUGUCCACCAAAUAUCCGUCUGCUUUAUCAUCCUUGACUCCAAAUAUAUCAGCUGUGAUUUCAAUCAAGAAACUCAAAAGCUCUCCUUUGUUCCACUCUGAGAAGACUUGAUGUAAUUCAUCGUUAGAGAGCUUGCCCACCGAUCUUAGUACAUCAUAAGCCUCUG
rnacentral:misc_RNA from 1 species